UACAGAGGUGGCAAGCGUUGUUCGGAAUUACUGGGCGUAAAGGGCUCGUAGGUGGCCGACUAAGUCAGACGUGAAAUCCCUCAGCUUAACUGGGGAACUGCGUCUGAUACUGGAUGGCUUGAGUUUGGGAGAGGGAUGCGGAAUUCCAGGUGUAGCGGUGAAAUGCGUAGAUAUCUGGAGGAACACCGGUGGCGAAGGCGGCAUCCUGGACCAACACUGACACUGAGGAGCGAAAGCCAGGGGAGCAAACGGG
rnacentral:rRNA from 1 species